CGCCCGGGCCGCGGACCGUGCUCAUCUUCGACGAGCUCUCGGACUCCUUGUGCAGGGUGGCCGACCUGGCCGAUUUUGUGAAGAUUGCUCACCCCGAGGCGGCGUUCAGGGAGGCUGCGGAGGAGGCUUGUCGGAGCAUCGGCACCAUGGUGGAGAAGUGGGUGUGGGCUCCCCGGAGGUGCUGGCCGGGGAGGGGGUGCCCACCACAGAAUUCUGGGCUGCUUCCCUGCCUGUCCUGUCACUCGGUCCUCAUCCUGUCGACGGCUGGCACGGUGAUCUGCUCUCGGGGUUGCUGUGGGAAGGGGAGACGGUGACUAAAACGCCUGUGAUGGGGGUGGGGGUCGGGCACAGCGGACGCCCGGGAUCCUCCUCCCCCUCGGUUACGGGCCCUUUAGCAUCUUGGGCAGGUGGUGGCUAAAGCACUGUCACCCCGAUGCCGGGUCUGCAGGGUGAGGCCAGCGGCUUACCUCCAUGUGGUGGCCUUGCGGCCCCCGGGGCUGGCCCUGGGGAGGUCAUAAAGGUGACGUGGGUGCUGCAGCAGGCCGGGCUGGGGGGGAGUUGAUCAUUUUAAAGUGGUUCUGAGGUAAACUAAGUGUGCUUGUUAGGGUAACAGGGAGGGGCAGGACGCCCCCGGGAAGGGUGUCAGGCUCCCAUCAGGGCCUGCGUCUCUGAGACCAGAGGCGGCUGGGAGAGGGGGCUCCUCUUCCCCCGGGGGCUCCUGGCGGGGCCUGAGGGCUGCCUUGCUGUCCCCACCCGCAGCUUUCACACUCUUGGGGACGGUGGCUGUGAAAACUGGCUCCUCAAUGGGUGAACUGGUCGCUGCAAGCUGGGACCCCGGCAUGGUGACGGGACAGGAGCAGGGGCUCCCCGGAGAUGAGCGGGAGCCCCGGGCACCGGCCUGGACUCUUGUCUGCCGGGCUCCGGGUGCAACCUGCCCUACGGGCCCUGCGCUCCUGGUUCCAGGGCGGACGGCAGGAGCCGCGGCCUGUUGAGAGGUGCUGUCGGGAGUGUCGGCCCAGUGUCUUCGCUUGACCCCACGAGGAUGGCUCUCGAUGGAGGUGGGCUCAGGCCCUAUCUGCUCUUCUGGCUGCAGCUGUCUCCUGUGGCUUUAGGUUUACACUUUUACCACCUGGGACACGUUGUUCUCGCACGCUGCCUUCCCUGUACUAACAGU
rnacentral:lncRNA from 1 species